rnacentral:misc_RNA from 1 species
AGUCGAGUCGCGUAACGCAUGUGUGUCGAACGCUCCGCGAUAGUGCGGUAGUGUCGGACUCUGCAAGUACGCGUAGAUGAAAAGUGCCGUGUCUUGAAAUUUUAAUAAACGGGGCUCUGUCAUCUGCUAUAGAAUUUUAAAUUCGAUACUGUAACCGACGUCGCGCGGCGUCAUGGCUCUGAAAUUAUCACUGAUACGUUCACGGGCCACCGAACGCUACAGAGGUUAAUUCACUCGACGUGUAAGCUCAUAUUUCUCGAGCGAGAAGUCGAAACGUUUUGUAGACAUUGUAGCGAGCUUCGAGCGGAUUGAAUUACUGGCGAUAGAUUACAUUGUCUAUGUUAAACGACCGAAAAUAAUUUUCGAGUACCGCAAGUACGACAGCGUAGAGUCACGACAUUACGAGUAAUAAUAAAAUGCAGAAGCGUCGCAUUUAAAAUUCACAUAUAUGCAAUGACGGGCGAACGGUCUCAGCGUUAUUGAGGAAUCGAGUGUAAAGACCUCAUUGUGUUUUUUAAUACAUAUUGUGAUGAGUAAAAUAUGAUAGGGCCUCGCUCCGCCCACGUUGGACGAUUAAAAAUUUAAAUACGAUCGUCAACGGAGGACAUUUUACAUUCUGACACGGGUUCGAGCUGAUACGGGUUUUUUUUAAGGCUACGAAUUCUAGUUUCGAGUCACGAGUUUUUACGUUUGGGGAAUCCAUUUACGGGUGAUAUCCAGGAUGCCCGGGUAGGCAUUCCUAGACCAUAUGUCGACUUCAGCACUUGGGGGUGCAAUACCGACCAAAGCCCUGCGGGAGCCUUCAGCCGCUUCAACUGGAGGGUCCCGGAUCUACAGGCAACAGGAUCCCGCCAGCGACAGGUUGGCCUUGGCGAAAAGAUCAGACUUCUCCUCCAUGGGGACUGUCCGGCGCACCUCUGAACAAUCCCGACGACGAUGAUAUUUAGUGAUAGCUGUAGCUAUUCUCAGAAAAAAUGCUACCAGAUGUAAAAUAGAAAAUUGUAUUAAAUAUUACAGGAUUAAUAAAACCCGAUGUCACGUAAAAUCCAAAAAUUUCAUAUUAGAUUUUUGUACCAUACAACCAUUUCGUUUUAGAUGAAUUUAAAAUAUGUGCAAAUAACUUUACAUGUAUGUAUUUUUUCAAUUAUUCUAUUUUUCAAAACCAUUUUCCUCAAUACAAACAACAAAGUUGACAUGCUUGUAUAUCUGACUACAUAUCUCGCGGACUCUAAUUAUAAACUAAAUUAUUAUUACUAGUUUCAUAAAACCUUGAAAAGUGACUGAGAUCUGUUCUCGUCAAAACAAUACAAGAAUUUCAUUACCGCAAACCAUAAUUUGCAACUACAGUACAUGUUUCGAUACAGACUAAUACCGAACCCUACAUCGGCCACUGUACACCCGCGACUGCACAUCGUAAGCUCAGAUGUAGAGCGUAGUUCGACUUUCCUCAGCGAGAUGUUAUUUUUAUUGCAAAUUUAUUUUUGUUAUAUUGUAAUGGCGCAAAUCAAGCGUCGUGACCGUAUUACACAGUCGCUUAACAACUGCAUGUGCAUCAAAAAUUAUCAGCGCUUAAGUUAGGUUGUGGUUUAUUAAUAUUGAAAAUGUCAAAUUCCUUGACUCGUUCACGUUUAUCUUGUAUAUUGUUUGUAUUGACCAACCUAUCAUGUAUGUAUGGCGUUGUAUAUGGCUCAUACAAAGUAGCUUGAGUUAAUUUUAAUUAAUCCUCUAUCUGCAAAGAUGAUUUCAUAACGUGUGCCGACAUCACCGUGGUAUAAAUAUAUUUAAAUAGGUAUAAUGAAAUUGACCUUUAAAAAUAACAUAUGCAUAUAUGCAUAUAAUAUAUAUGCAUAUGAGAUAAUUUAUAAUACAAUUAAAUAACCUUUAAAUACCAG